UUUNAUCAUGGCUCAGGAUGAACGCUAGCGGCAGGCCUAACACAUGCAAGUCGAGGGGCAGCAUAGAUAGCUUGCUAUCUGAUGGCGACCGGCGCACGGGUGCGUAACGCGUAUACAACCUACCUAUUACUGAGGGAUAGCCCGAAGAAAUUUGGAUUAAUACCUCAUAGAAUUAUAAGAUGGCAUCAUUUAAUAAUUAAAGGUUACGGUAAUAGAUGGGUAUGCGUCCUAUUAGCUAGAUGGUGAGGUAACGGCUCACCAUGGCGACGAUAGGUAGGGGUCCUGAGAGGGAGAUCCCCCACACUGGUACUGAGACACGGACCAGACUCCUACGGGAGGCAGCAGUGAGGAAUAUUGGACAAUGGAGGCAACUCUGAUCCAGCCAUGCCGCGUGUAGGAAGACGGCCCUAUGGGUUGUAAACUACUUUUGUACGGGAAGAAAUACAGUCACGUGUGAUUGUUUGACGGUACCGUAAGAAUAAGCACCGGCUAACUCCGUGCCAGCAGCCGCGGUAAUACGGAGGGUGCAAGCGUUAUCCGGAAUCAUUGGGUUUAAAGGGUCCGUAGGCGGGUAAUUAAGUCAGUGGUGAAAUGCAGGGGCUCAACUCCGGCACUGCCAUUUGAUACUGGUUAUCUUGAAUUAUUGUGAAGUGGUUAGAAUAUGUAGUGUAGCGGUGAAAUGCUUAGAUAUUACAUAGAAUACCGAUUGCGAAGGGCAGAUCACUAACAAUAUAUUGACGCUGAUGGACGAAAGCGUGGGGAGCGAACAGGAUUAGAUACCCUGGUAGUCCACGCCGUAAACGAUGGUUACUAGCUGUUUGGAUCGAUUGAGAUCUGAGUGGCCAAGCGAAAGUGAUAAGUAACCCACCUGGGGAGUACGUUCGCAAGAAUGAAACUCAAAGGAAUUGACGGGGGCCCGCACAAGCGGUGGAGCAUGUGGUUUAAUUCGAUGAUACGCGAGGAACCUUACCAGGGCUUAAAUGCAGUAUGACAGAUUUGGAAACAGAUUUUUCUUCGGACAUAUUGCAAGGUGCUGCAUGGUUGUCGUCAGCUCGUGCCGUGAGGUGUCAGGUUAAGUCCUAUAACGAGCGCAACCCCUAUUUCUAGUUGCCAGCACAUAAUGGUGGGGACUCUAGAGAGACUGCCGGUGCAAACCGUGAGGAAGGUGGGGAUGACGUCAAAUCAUCACGGCCCUUACGUCCUGGGCUACACACGUGCUACAAUGGUAGGGACAGAGAGCAGCCACUUCGCGAGAAGGAGCGAAUCUACGAACCCUAUCUCAGUUCGGAUCGCAGUCUGCAACUCGACUGCGUGAAGCUGGAAUCGCUAGUAAUCGCAUAUCAGCCAUGAUGCGGUGAAUACGUUCCCGGGCCUUGUACA
rnacentral:rRNA from 1 species